AUGGAAGAUUUAACGCGUCCUCUUGUGAGAGAUUCGGAGGCUAAUCUUCAUGCCAAGCUCGCUCCCUCCGGCUCCGGAUCUGGACUGCAACAAGCGUGUAAGAAGUUGCGUGAUUUGACGACCGUUGAUCGCGCGGUUCUUGUCGCGUUCGUGGCAUCCAUCGGCAACCUGCUCCAAGGCUGGGACAAUGCGAGCAUUGCAGGUGCUAUGUUUUACAUAAAGGAUGAGUUUAAACUAGAUAGCAUGCUAAUGAUUGAGGGGUGUAUUAUGGCCAUGGCACUUUUUGGGGCAACAAUAAUCACAACACUAUCUGGAAUGCUAUCUGAUAAAUUUGGUAGGUGGGCGAUGCUACUUACCUCGGCGGUGUUGUCCUUUGUUAGUGCAGUAUUGGUCAUAUUUUGGUCCCAACAUGUGUAUAUGCUGCUAUUCGCGAGGCUUAUUCAGGGAUUUAGCAUUGGUUUGGCAGUUACACUUGUGCCAUUAUAUAUAGUUGAGACCGCGCCUCCUGAUAUGAGAGGAAAAUUAAGCACAUUUCCCCAGUUAAGUGGUUCAGUUGGUAUGUUCUUGUCUUACUGCAUGGUGUUUUGGAUGUCCAUGCUGCCAAAGGUUAGUUGGCGGAUCAUGCUUGGGAUACAACUGAUACCCUCACUAAUAUACUCAAUUUUAACUAUCUUCUAUCUACCCGAGACUCCGAGUUGGCUUGUGAGCCAAGGAAGGGUGGAUGAAGCCAAGAUGGUUUUACAAAAACUACGAAGAAAGGAAGAUGUCUCAGGUGAAAUGGCAAGUCUUUUGGAGGGUACACAAGUUGGUGAUACUCCGUCUAUUGAGGAGUACCUAAUUAGCACUAAUGAAAGUAUGUUAAGGGAAAAAGUGAUUGGCAAUGAUGAAAUAAUAAAAUUAUAUGGACUUCCGGAAGAUUUGCAUUGUGUUGCCUAUCCAUUGAAGAGAACAAACACAGAAGAAAGUGCCAUUGGUCAUUCUGUGAGUCGUGGAGCAUCGUUCUAUGACCCAGUUGUCAACAUUAUUGGGAGUAUGCACGGGCUCCCUGAGGUUGCCCACGGCAUAUUCAAUGAAUUAGAACAACAAGGUCCAAUUGAAGGGGACGAAGAGAAUCAGGAAGAGACCAAAGAGCAUGAGCUAGAACACAACCGAGAUGAUACCUAUGAUAGCGAGCAUGAUUAUCUUAUUCAACCCAAACCUACGAAUAUAAAUGAUUUUGUUGUAUGUCGCAAAAGCGGCCAUAUUGGUGGAGGUUGGCAAUUGGCUUGGAAAAUGUCAUCAGGAUAUCAUUUGGAUGGGCAAAUGGAAGGUGGCAUGGAACGGGUAUAUUUGCAUGAAGGAGGUGUACCAAGUUCUGAAAACCUACUAGAUGCUCCAAUAGACGGGAAUUUCAUUCAAGCGACUGCUUUGGUCAACAAAUCGGUUUUUCAUAAGUCUGGACACAAUAUUGGUAUUCAUUCACCUAAUAAAGAUUAUAGAAGUACAAAAUGGAAGGAUCUGUUAGAACCUGGUGUAAAACGUGCAUUGGUCGUGGGUGUUGGAAUACAAGUACUUCAACAGUUUGCUGGCAUCAAUGGCAUUCUUUAUUACACUCCACAAAUACUUGAGCAAGCUGGUGUUGGGGUUCUUCUCUCAAAGUUUGGCAUCAACUCUUCUUCAGUGUCGAUUCUUAUGAGCGCUCUCACAACUUUAUUGAUGCUUCCUUUUAUUUGCAUAGCCAUGUGGCUUAUGGACCGCUCUGGAAGAAGAAGGAUACUACUUGUGACAAUACCCAUCUUGGUUGUGUCCCUCAUUGUUUUGGUAACAGUCAACAUUGUGAAUCUGAGUGCUGAACUACACGCACUGCUCUCAACAAUGAGUGUUGGAAUCUAUUUCUGCAUAUUUGUCAUGGGUUUUGGUCCAAUACCAAAUAUAUUCUGCUCGGAGAUUUUCCCCAACAAAGUUCGUGCUAUUUGCUUGGCCAUAUGUAGCCUUAUCUUUUGGAUUUGUGACAUCAUUGUGACAUAUACCCUCCCUGUAUUGUUGAGGUAUAUAGGUCUUGCGGGUGUUUUUGGAGUUUAUGCCAUUGUUUGUGUGCUGGCUUUUGUUUUCGUUUGUUUAAAGGUCCCGGAAACAAAGAAUAUACCUAUUGAGGUCAUAGCAGAGUUCUAUGCACUUGGCGGGUCAGGUACCCAAAUCAUCCAAGAGAGGCAGAAAGAAAAUUCAGAGAAAUUAUUAGCGUGA
rnacentral:rRNA from 1 species